UACGGGGGGGCAAGCGUUGUUCGGAAUUACUGGGCGUAAAGGCUCGUAGGUGGCCAACUAAGUCAUACGUGAAAUCCCUCGGCUUAACCGGGGAACUGCGUCUGAUACUGGAUGGCUUGAGGUUGGGAGAGGGAUGCGGAAUUCCAGGUGUAGCGGUGAAAUGCGUAGAUAUCUGGAGGAAUACCGGUGGCGAAGGCGGCGAUCCCUGG
rnacentral:rRNA from 1 species